CGUGUAGGCGGGAAAGAAAGUCAGAUGUGAAAGCCCGGAGCUCAACUCCGGAACGGCAUCCGAAACUUCUUUUCUUGAGGGUAGACGGAGAAAGCGGAAUUCCACGUGUAGCGGUGAAAUGCGUAGAUACGUGGAAGAACACCGGUGGCGAAGGCGGCUUUCUAGUUUAUUCCUGACGCUGAGGCGCGAAAGCAAGGGGAGCAAACAGGAUUAGAUACCCUGGUAGUCC
rnacentral:rRNA from 1 species